UGUUGUGCUAUAGAAAAUCCUUACUCCAGAACUGCUCUUCUCUAUCACCACAGAAAAUAGAGAAAAUGGCAGACAAAAUUUUCCCUCCUUUGCUUUUUGUGUUGAGCAGAUCCCUCUUCAAGUCACCUACAGCUCCAGUGCAUACCCUGCAGUGUGAUAGUAGUACCCAUCAGCGUGACGGAUUUGUUCACCUCAAUCCAAGAAGAUAGGAUGUCCUAGUGGAAUAAAACAUACCAACUGCUUA